rnacentral:rRNA from 1 species
UACGUAGGGUGCAAGCGUUGUCCGGAAUUAUUGGGCGUAAAGAGCUCGUAGGCGGUCUGUCGCGUCUGCUGUGAAACUCAGGGCUUAACCCUGAGCUUGCAGUGGGUACGGGCAGACUAGAGUGCGGUAGGGGAGACUGGAAUUCCGUGGUGUAGCGGUGAAAUGCGCAGAUAUCAGGAGGAACACCGGUGGCGAAGGCGGGACUCUGGGCCGAUAUUGACGCUGGAGGAGCGAAAGCGUCGGGGAGCGAACAGG